UAGGGAAUCUUCCACAAUGGACGCAAGUCUGAUGGAGCAACGCCGCGUGAGUGAAGAAGGUCUUCGGAUCGUAAAACUCUGUUGUUAGAGAAGAACACGAGUGAGAGUAACUGUUCAUUCGAUGACGGUAUCUAAUCAGCAAGUCACGGCUAACUACUCGCCAG
rnacentral:rRNA from 1 species